UACGAAGGGGGCUAGCGUUGUUCGGAAUUACUGGGCGUAAAGCGCACGUAGGCGGACUAUUAAGUCAGGGGUGAAAUCCCGGAGCUCAACUCCGGAACUGCCUUUGAUACUGGUAGCCUAGAGAUCGGAAGAGGUGAGUGGAAUUCCCAGUGUAGCGGUGAAAUGCGUAGAUAUUGGGAGGAACACCAGUGGCGAAGGCGGCUCACUGGACCGGAACUGACGCUGAGGCGCGAAAGCGUGGGGAGCAAACAGG
rnacentral:rRNA from 1 species